rfam:Firmicutes bacterium CAG:145 genomic scaffold, scf76
UCCUUAUUGAGAGCGGCUGAGGGACUAGGCCCAGAGAAGCCCGGCAACCUGUAUGUUUUGUCAGAGAAACGUGAAAGGUGCUAAAUCCUACAGAAAUAUUAUUUCUGAAAGAUGAGGA